GACGAACGCUGGCGGUAUGCUUAACACAUGCAAGUCGAACGGAAAGGUCCUGCUUUUGUGCGGUGCGCGAGGGGCGAACUGGUGAGUAACACGUGGGUAACCUGCGCUUGACAGAAGGGUAACGUCAAGAAACGCGGGCUAAUACCGGAUAGGAGCUACUGCUGCAAAGUGGUGGUGGGAAAGCUUCGGCAGUUGGGGAUGGAGCCGGCGCUUAAGAGCGUGUUGGUGGGGUAGGGGCUUACCAAGGCUUUGACCGGUAGCAGGGCUGAGAGGGUGGGCGGCCAACUUGGGACUGAGAUCCGGCCCAGGCCCCUACCGGAGGCAAGAGUGGGGAAUAUUGCAAAAUGGGCGGAAGGCUGGUGCAAGCACGCCGGGUGCGGGAAGGCAGCCUUCUGGUUGUAGUCCACUUCCUCCUGUGACGGAGCGUGCAUGACGGUAAUGGGUAAAGAAGCACCGGCUAACUACGUG
rnacentral:rRNA from 1 species